rnacentral:rRNA from 1 species
AUGGGUGCAUCUGCAGCUACCGGCAUGCAGAUGGUGGCGGCGCGCCCUUGCAUCCCAGCUUGCCAGCGAAUGCUUGGGUCGAGAUCUGUAGUUUCUGCAUUCGGAAGGGCACUCAGCACCAGAACUGGCUUUGCAAGCUGUGUUAAGACUGCGUCAGCAGGACCGCUCAUUUCUGUAAGCCGCAAGAGGUUUGCUGUCAGGGCGAUGUCUCAGGGAGCUGUCCAGGGCCUCCCCAUUGAUCUCAGAGGUAAAAGAGCAUUUAUUGCUGGAGUCGCUGAUGAUAAUGGUUAUGGCUGGGCAAUAGCCAAGGCUCUUGCUGCAGCUGGUGCUGAAAUUCUUGUUGGUACAUGGGUGCCUGCACUGAACAUAUUUGAGACAAGCUUGAGACGUGGAAAGUUUGACGAAUCACGGAAGCUGCCUGAUGGAUCCCUUAUGGAGAUUACUAAAGUUUAUCCACUGGAUGCUGUUUUUGACUCCCUGGAGGAUGUUCCUGAAGAUGUUAAAGCAAAUAAGAGGUACGCAGGAUCCUCAAAAUGGACUGUGAAGGAAGUUGCUGAAACUGUGAAGGAUGAUUUCGGCAGCAUUGAUAUCCUUGUGCAUUCUCUUGCCAAUGGUCCUGAGGUAACAAAGCCCUUGCUGGAGACAUCAAGAAGUGGCUAUCUUGCUGCAGUUUCAGCAUCUAGUUACUCGUUCAUCUCUUCACUUCAGCAUUUCCUUCCCAUCAUGAAUCCAGGAGGUGCUAGUAUCUCUUUGACCUACAUUGCUUCGGAAAGGACAAUCCCUGGCUAUGGCGGUGGCAUGAGUUCAGCAAAGGCAGCACUUGAGAGUGAUACAAGAGUUCUUGCUUUUGAAGCAGGGCGAAAGGGCAAAAUCAGAGUGAACACUAUAUCAGCAGGUCCCCUGGGGAGCAGAGCUGCAAAAGCUAUUGGAUUCAUCGAGAAGAUGAUAGAGUACUCUUAUGUUAACGCACCAUUGCAGAAGGAGCUCUUGGCAGAGGAAGUGGGGAACGCAGCAGCAUUCUUGGUGUCUCCGUUGGCAUCUGCAAUCACUGGUUCAACUGUUUAUGUCGACAAUGGACUCAACACGAUGGCGCUCGCGGUUGACAGUCCUACUUUGUCUACAUAA